AUUGAAAGGACAGACUUAGUUUCUUGGAAAGCAUCAGCUGAUCACUUUCCAAGACUUAAGCAUCUUGUUCUCAUCUGCUGCGAUAAGCUUAAGGAAAUCCCCAUUGGCCUGGCUGAUAUACGCAGCUUCCAAGUGAUGGAGUUGCAAAACUCCACCAAAACAGCAGCAAUAUCUGCACGGGAAAUACGAGACAAAAAAGACAAGCAAACUCAAGAAGGGACUAACAACAAUGGGUUCAAGCUCUCUAUAUUCCCUCCCGAUCUCUGAUUGCAACUGGAUGUGCAGCUUCCUUGAGAGGUCUUCAAUGAAUCAAACUGUAUGAUGCUGGUACUGUACCAUGGAUAAGAAACUUCUACUAGGUGUUAUAAUAAUUCUUGAAUCGUUGUCUGUCACCAACUUAUUUGGGACUGAGGCGUCAUUGUUGUUGUUGUUCAGUCGUUGUCUGUCUUUCUUGCCUUUCAUGUGUUGUCUUCUUGAUUGUGGUCAUAGCUUUGAGCUGAAUAAUUGUAUGUUUUCCAUUUGUGGUAUGUUAUAAUCCAUAAGAACAGUGUACUUUGCGCUUGCAAUAACAAUUGAUUGAUUGUGUGGUCGGA